rnacentral:misc_RNA from 1 species
GUAGGUGAACCUGCGGAUGGAUCAUUAGUGAAUGUUGGGCGAGUCUCUCGCCCGCACUCCACCCUUGUGCAUCAAUUGUUUUUGGCUGGCCUGGGAUGGCUUGCGGCCCUGUGCCGCCUUCCUCCGCGGUCAGCCAACGGGCUUCGGCCCGCCAAACCCCUCCAUACUGUCUAAUGUAAGAAACAAAAUGAUCUAAACAACUUUUGACAACGGAUCUCUUGGCUCUC